CAGGGUAUGCAAAGGGAUAUAAUUCAGAGGGGGGCAAAGAUAUAGGUCAGCAGGUAGGCUCAGGGUCAGCAGGUAGGCUCAGGGUCAGCAGGUAGGCUCAGGGUCAGCAGGUAGGCUCAGGGUCAGCAGGUAGGCUCAGGGUCAGCAGGUAGGCUCAGGGUCAGCAGGUAGGCUCAGGGUCAGCAGGUAGGCUCAGGGUCAGGCAGGUAGGCUCAGGGUCAGCAGGUAGGCUCAGGGUCAGCAGGUAGGCUCAGGGUCAGCAGGUAGGCUCAGGGUCAGCAGGUAGGCUCAGGGUCAGGCAGGUAGGCUCAGGGUCAGGCAGGUAGGCUCAGGGUCAGGCAGGUGGGCUUGGAAUCAGGAUAGGCAAGGGUCAAAACCAGGAGGGCGAGAAAAAGAGAGACUAGAAAAAGCAGGAGCUGAGACACAACACACUGGUUGACUUGACAAACUGACAACGGACAAACAGGAAACAGGAGACAAAGGGCUGGAGACAAUCACAAGGACAGGUGAAACAGAUCAGGGUGUGACAUUCAUAAAGAAUCUUAGGAGUGCUGAUCUAGGAUCAAGUCCCCCCUGUCUAAAAGGCUAAACUGAUCAGUGCUAUUACUUUGGGACGAUUAUUGAAUAUGGGCCCAGAUAUUUACUGGUAAAGGUCAAUGAAAGAUUGUGAGAAGGAAAAGCCUGACAGCUAGUAUAGAAAACAUGGGUUAGCUUUUGUUAUAACAAUAGGUGCAAAUAAUUAAUAAAUCUGUCCUUACACCUUCAAAUGUACUACAUGGUCUGAGAAUUCUGAAAUAUUAAAUAUUUUCACAGUGCCUUUUUACUAAGCAGGUGAUUGGCUAAGAGGAUGACCUCAAUUGAACCUUGACAGCGAAACAUAGAAAGGUUAUUUGAGUCCAUGUGAGAAUCAAAUCUGGUUUGCAACAUAAUUAAC